rnacentral:rRNA from 1 species
AGAGUUUGAUCCUGGCUCAGAACGAACGCUGGCGGCGUGCUUAACACAUGCAAGUCGAGUGCGCGUUUCGUAGCAAUACGAGAUGGCGCACGGCGCACGGGUGCGUAACACGUGGGUAACCUGCCCUUUGGUGGGGAAUAACUCCGCGAAAGCGGAGCUAAUUCCGCAUAAGAUCCGCAAGGAUGAAAGCCGCAAGGCGCCGAUGGAGGGGCCCGCGCACGAUUAGCUAGUUGGUAGGGUAACGGCCUACCAAGGCUUUGAUCGUUAGCUGGUCUGAGAGGAUGGCCAGCCACACUGGAACUGAGACACGGUCCAGACUCCUACGGGAGGCAGCAGUGGGGAAUCUUGCACAAUGGGCGAAAGCCUGAUGCAGCGACGCCGCGUGGGGGAUGAAGCAUUUCGGUGUGUAAACCCCUUUCGAUCCGGACGAAUGCCCGCAAGGGAUUGACGGUACGGAUAUAAGAAGCCCCGGCUAACUACGUGCCAGCAGCCGCGGUAAGACGUAGGGGGCCAGCGUUGUUCGGAAUUACUGGGUGUAAAGGGUUCGUAGGCGGUGCGGCAAGUUGGGAGUGAAAUCUCUGGGCUCAACCCAGAGGCUGCUUCCAAAACUGCUGUGCUUGAGUGUGGGAGAGGCGCGUGGAAUUGCAGGUGUAGCGGUGAAAUGCGUAGAUAUCUGCAGGAACACCCGUGGCGAAAGCGGCGCGCUGGACCACUACUGACGCUGAGGAACGAAAGCUAGGGGAGCAAACAGGAUUAGAUACCCCGGUAGUCC